ensembl:vault_RNA Vault Vault RNA
GAGUCAACUUAACCUACAGGUUCCUUUGCAAUAUGGGUAAUUUUUUAUGAGUUGCUAAUUCUUAGCAGUUCAAAUCCUGCAGGUGCAGUCUGGCUUUUUA